UACGUAGGGUGCAAGCGUUGUCCGGAAUUAUUGGGCGUAAAGAGCUCGUAGGCGGUCUGUCACGUCGGAUGUGAAAACUCGGGGCUCAACCCCGAGCCUGCAUACGAUACGGGCAGACUUGAGUUCGGCAGGGGAGACUGGAAUUCCUGGUGUAGCGGUGAAAUGCGCAGAUAUCAGGAGGAACACCGGUGGCGAAGGCGGGUCGCGGGGCCGAUACUGACGCUGAGGAGCGAAAGCGUGGGGAGUGAUCCGG
rnacentral:rRNA from 1 species